rnacentral:rRNA from 1 species
GAUGAACGCUGGCGGCGUGCUUAACACAUGCAAGUCGAACGGAAAGGCCCUGCUUUUGUGGGUUGCUCGAGUGGCGAACGGGUGCGUGACACGUGAGUAACCUGCCCUUGACUUUGGGAUAACUUCAGGAAACUGGGGCUAAUACCGGAUAGGAGCUCCUGCUGCAUGGUGGGGGUUGGAAAGUUUCGGCGGUUGGGGAUGGGCUCGCGGCUUAUCAGCUUGUUGGUGGGGUAGUGGCUUACCAAGGCUUUGACGGGUAGCCGGCCUGAGAGGGUGACCGGCCACAGUGGGACUGAGAUACGGCCGGGAGUCCUACGGGAGGCAGCAGUGGGGAAUAUUGCACGAUGGGCGGAAGCAGGAUGCAGCAACGCCGCGUGCGGGAUGACGGCCUUCGGGUUUUAGACCGCUUUGUGCGGUGACGAAGCGUGAGUGACGGUAAUGGAUAAAGAAGCACCGGCUAACUACGUG